rnacentral:rRNA from 1 species
AGUGAACGCUGGCGGUAGGCCUAACACAUGCAAGUCGAACGGCAGCACAGUAAGAGCUUGCUCUUACGGGUGGCGAGUGGCGGACGGGUGAGGAAUACAUCGGACUCUACUUUUUCGUGGGGGAUAACGUAGGGAAACUUACGCUAAUACCGCAUACGACCUACGGGUGAAAGCAGGGGAUCUUCGGACCUUGCGCGAUUGAAUGAGCCGAUGUCGGAUUAGCUAGUUGGGGGGGUAAAGGCCCACCAAGGCGACGAUCCGUAGCUGGUCUGAGAGGAUGAUCGGCGACACUGGAACUGAGACACGGUCCAUACUCCUACGGGAGGCAGCAGUGGGGAAUAUUGGACAAUGGGCGCAAGCCUUAUCCAGCCAGCCCGCGUGUGUGAAGAAGGCGUUCGGUUUGUAAAGCCCUUUUGUUGGGAAAGAACAGCAGCAGGUUAAUACCACGCUGUUCUGACGGUACCCAAAGAAUAAGCACCGGCUAACUUCGUG